UAGGCAGGAGCCAAGGGGUAAGGCGUCUAGCUGUUAACUAGAAUCAUAUGGGAUCAAGGCCCAUCUGCCUAG
ensembl:Mt_tRNA